rnacentral:lncRNA from 1 species
AUGCACUGCAUCCGGGCCCCCACCGCGUGCCCCGCCUCGUUGGGCCCGGUGUGUGCGUGUGUUGGGCAGGGACGCUGGCUGGGAGCCUGGGGUGGGGGGCUCUGUUCCUUUCCUGGGGGCGGUGCUGGGGGUGAGGGGGAGGCCACCGUGGACAGAGGGGGCUUUGUUCGUGAGUCCGAUGGGGGAGCUGGGCUCGGCCCUGACAAAGAGCCAUCUGUGUCUGGGGGACGUGCCCCCAGCGCGCCGGAACAGGCCCCCUCCAUCGCAGGGGCCUCAGCCUGUCGGCACCCCUCACCCAGCGGGCGCAGACGGCCUCAUCCUGCCUCCCGCCAGGCUCCCCUUGGCCCGGGGCAGCUGAACCCCAGCCUGCUGCUGCCAGUCGGUUCAGGCCCGGGGACACUUCCAGAGCCUGAGUCCCCAGCAGAACGUCCUCGGCUUUUCCUGCUGCUGAGGGUGUGCUGGAGCAGCGGCUCACGCUUGGGGCGCCGGGCUGGGCCAGCCUGGUCCCCACCCCCACCCUGGGGGACAUGCCGGGGCUCCCUCUGCGCUGUCACACCAGCCAGACUGGUCAGGAGCACGGGCCGGACCAGGCAGUGGCCGGCAGGUUCCCCCUUCAGGAGAGCCUCUGGGCCUGCGCCCCAGCUUCCUGGCCCGGGGUCCCUCCCUCCAGCCACAGGCCCCCCCACUCCUCCUCGGGGCUCCGGCUGUAGGCCAGGCACACGGGCCUCGACCCUCCGCCUGCCCUGCCCUCAGCCAUCACGACCACCGGGUGGGACCCUUCGCGUCUCGGAAACGAGUCCACUCAGAACCGCCCGCCUCGGAGGACCGCGUCCGAGCCAGGCCGCCCCUGGCCCCCGAAGCUUGGCUUUUACAGGCCCAAGGAAGCUCGGUCUUACGGAGCUGUCACUUCUCAGACCGGUCUGUAGGUCCAAUACAGCCCCACUGAAAACCCCGAGUGUGUCUGUGACGUCUGUGAGAGGUACUCGGGGAGGGACGGCCCCGGGCGGCCAAGUCCGGGGGAAGCUGCCCGGGAGCAGGUGCGCUCUGCUGGGCUCCUACAGGUGCCGCCGUAAGCUCGCACCUGGUGGCUGGGGAAGCGCGGCCCAGCGGCCCGGCCGUAGGUGGGCAGGGGGCGCGGGGCCGUCGGCGAGGUCCAUCUCCCAUGGGCGGCCUCUGUGA